GAUGAACGCUGGCGGCGUGCCUAAUACAUGCAAGUCGAGCGAACGGACGAGAAGCUUGCUUCUCUGAUGUUAGCGGCGGACGGGUGAGUAACACGUGGAUAACCUACCUAUAAGACUGGGAUAAAUUCGGGAAACCGGAGCUAAUACCGGAUGAUAUUUUGAACCGCAUGGUUCAAAAGUGAAAGACGGUCUUGCUGUCACUUAUAGAUGGAUCCGCGCUGCAUUAGCUAGUUGGUAAGGUAACGGCUUACCAAGGCAACGAUGCAUAGCCGACCUGAGAGGGUGAUCGGCCACACUGGAACUGCGACACGGUCCCGACUCCUACGGGAGGCAGCAGUAGGGAAUCUUCCGCAAUGGGCGAAAGCCUGACGGAGCAACGCCGCGUGAGUGAUGAAGGUCUUCGGAUCGUAAAACUCUGUUAUUAGGGAAGAACAUAUGUGUAAGUAACUGUGCACAUCUUGACGGUACCUAAUCAGAAAGCCCCGGCUAACUACGU
rnacentral:rRNA from 1 species